rnacentral:rRNA from 1 species
UGGGGAAUAUUGCACAAUGGGGGGAACCCUGAUGCAGCCAUGCCGCGUGUAUGAAGAAGGCCUUCGGGUUGUAAAGUACUUUCGGUGAUGAGGAAGGGGUAUAAUCUAAUAGGUAAUACCAUUGACGUUAAUCACAGAAGAAGCACCGGCUAACUCCGUGCCAGCAGCCGCGGUAAUACGGAGGGUGCGAGCGUUAAUCGGAAUGACUGGGCGUAAAGGGCAUGUAGGCGGAUAGUUAAGUUAGGUGUGAAAGCCCCGGGCUCAACCUGGGAAUUGCACUUAAAACUGGUUAUCUGGAGUAUUGUAGAGGAAGGUAGAAUUCCACGUGUAGCGGUGAAAUGCGUAGAGAUGUGGAGGAAUACCGGUGGCGAAGGCGGCCUUCUGGACAGAUACUGACGCUGAGAUGCGAAAGCGUGGGGAGCAAACA